rnacentral:lncRNA from 1 species
AGGUUAAUAUUUGAUGUACGUGUAGCCAAUACACAUAUGAAGUCUUGUGACCUUCAAACUAGCACUUGAGGUAAGCAAAGAGUUGUAUUAUGUUGUUUUAUAAUUUGGUUAGUUAUUUGCUUAUUUUGCUUACUUUGCGUUGCUGAGUUGCUGCAUGUAGAUAUUUUAAUGUUUUACCGUUUUGCUUAGUUUAUUACUAUUUAUGGAAUUCAUGUAGAAUACAUUAUUUACAUGGUAAUAGAAUAUUUAUUGCAAUUAAGUUUAUGAAAUGCAUAAACUCAUACAUGUAAGACGCAAGUUUAUGUUGAGUCUUUGAGACAGAAUUAUAGAUGUGAAAGAGAAUAUUAUUUUACUUAGAAUGUUAUACAGUGCAAUGUACUUGUUCAUAAACAUGUCAGAGUUAUCCAUCUUUGCACCUGUAUUUAUAGUAUUUUAUAAUUAUGUUUUGUAGGGUCUUUAUACGAGACAACUGAUUACUAAGACCUUUAAUAAAGAAUCCAUAUAUGUUUACAACCGAGUUUUUAUGAUGUCCAUUUCCACCCGGUUUCAGACACAUAUCAACCUGUACCAUUAUCUGAAACGAACUUCCGACCACUGGACACUGAUCAACCUGUACCAUUAUAUGCAACGAACUUCCGACCACUGGACACUGAUCAACCUGUACCAUUAUCUGCUACGAACUUCCGACCACUGGACACUGAUCAAUCUGUACCAUUAUAUGCAACGAACUUCCGACCACUAGACACUGAUCAACCUGUACCAUAAUAUGUAAUGAACCUACCGACCACUGGACACUGAUCAACCUGUACCAUUAUCUGCAACGAACUUCCGACCACUGGACACUGGUUAACCUAUACCAUUAUCUGCAACGAACUUCUGACCACUGGACACUGAUCAACCUGUACCAUUAUAUGUUAAUGAACAUACCACCCACUGGACACUGAUCAGCCUAUUCAGUUAUAUGUUAUAAACCUACCGACCACUGGACACUGGUCAACAUGUACCAUUUUAUGAAAUAAACAUACAAACCACUGGACACUGAUCAACCUGUACCAUUAUAUGUAAUGAACAUAUACACUAGCU